CUCUUACUUUUAAUUUUGUAAGUAUUACCUGCUCCAUGAAUUUAUUUAAAUAGCCGCGGAAUUUUAACCGUGCUAAGGUAGCAUAAUCAUUAGCCUCUUAAUUAGAGGCUUGCAUGAAUGGUAUAACAUUUUACCUACUUUACUAUAUAUAUACUAACCGAAACUAAAUUAAGAAUUAAAAUGUUCUUAUAUAUUAAAUAGACGACAAGACCCUAUUGAACUUUACUUUUGUUUAGCUGGGGCAGCUAAGAAAUAAUUAUCUUUCUCAUAAUUAUUUUAUAAAUGACCCAAUAUAUUUGAUAAAAUGAACAAGUUACCAUAGGGAUAACAGCGUAAUAUCUUUUUAAAGUUCUUAUUUAAAAAGGAGAUUGCGACCUCGAUGUUGAAUUAAUGUAACUUUAUUUAGUGCAGUUACUUCUAAAGUAUGUCUGUUCGACAUUUAAAACAUUACAU
rnacentral:rRNA from 1 species